rnacentral:misc_RNA from 1 species
GGGUGGUAUAGGGAAGACAACAAUCGCCAAAUAUGCAUUUAACUCUAACUUUGAAAGUUUUGAAAGAAGCAGCUUCCUCUACAAUGUUAGAGAUUUUUCAGAGUCUACGGAUGGACUAAUUUAUCUGCAGAAACAAUUUCUUUGUGAUAUUCUUGACGGGAGGAAGAUUGACAUUCAGAGUGUUGAAGAUGGAAUGAAUCAGAUCAAAAGUGCUGUUUAU